rnacentral:rRNA from 1 species
CCUACGGGGGGCUGCAGUGGGGAAUAUUGCACAAUGGGCGCAAGCCUGAUGCAGCCAUGCGGCGUGUGUGAAGAAGGCCUUCGGGUUGUAAAGCACUUUCAGCGGGGAGGAAGGCGGUGAGGUUAAUAACCUCAUCGAUUGACGUUACCCGCAGAAGAAGCACCGGCUAACUCCGUGCCAGCAGCCGCGGUAAUACGGAGGGUGCAAGCGUUAAUCGGAAUUACUGGGCGUAAAGCGCACGCAGGCGGUCUGUCAAGUCGGAUGUGAAAUCCCCGGGCUCAACCUGGGAACUGCAUUCGAAACUGGCAGGCCAGAGUCUUGUAGAGGGGGGUAGAAUUCCAGGUGUAGCGGUGAAAUGCGUAGAGAUCUGGAGGAAUACCGGUGGCGAAGGCGGCCCCCUGGACAAAGACUGACGCUCAGGUGCGAAAGCGUGGGGAGCAAACAGGAUUAGAUACCCUAGUAGUC